CCUACGGGAGGCUGCAGUGAGGAAUAUUGGUCAAUGGAGGCAACUCUGAACCAGCCAUGCCGCGUGUAGGACGAUGCCCUAUGGGUUGUAAACUACUUUUAUUGGGGAAGCGGUACCCAAGGAAUAAGGACCGGCUAACUCCGUGCCAGCAGCCGCGGUAAUACGGAGGGUCCAAGCGUUAUCCGGAAUCAUUGGGUUUAAAGGGUGCGCAGGCGGUAAAGUAAGUCAGUGGUGAAAUCUCUCGGCUCAACCGAGAAACUGCCAUUGAUACUGCUAUACUUGAAUAUAGUCGAAGUGGGCGGAAUGUGACAUGUAGCGGUGAAAUGCUUAGAUAUGUCACAGAACACCGAUAGCGAAGGCAGCUCACUAAUAACAUUGACGCUCAUGCACGAAAGCGUGGGGAGCGAACAGGAUUAGAUACCCUUGUAGUC
rnacentral:rRNA from 1 species